rnacentral:rRNA from 1 species
GUGCCAGCAGCCGCGGUAAUACGGAGGGUGCAAGCGUUAAUCGGAAUUACUGGGCGUAAAGCGCACGCAGGCGGUUUGUUAAGUCAGAUGUGAAAUCCCCGCGCUUAACGUGGGAACUGCAUUUGAAACUGGCAAGCUAGAGUCUUGUAGAGGGGGGUAGAAUUCCAGGGGUAGCGGUGAAAUGCGUAGAGAUCUGGAGGAAUACCGGUGGCGAAGGCGGCCCCCUGGACAAAGAAUGACGAUCUGGUGUGAAAGCGUGGGGAGCAAACAGGAUUAUAUACCUUGGUAGUCC